rnacentral:rRNA from 1 species
GUCGUAGUCCGGAUUGGAGUCUGCAACUCGACUCCAUGAAGUCGGAAUCGCUAGUAAUCGCAAAUCAGAAUGUUGCGGUGAAUACGUUCCCGGGCCUUGUACACACCGCCCGUCACACCAUGGGAGUGGGCUGCAAAAAGAAGCAGGUAGUUUUAACCUUCGGGAGGACGCUUGCCACUUUGUGGUUCAUGACUGGGGUGAAGUCGUAACAAGGUAGCGCUAGGGGAACCUGGCGCUGGAUCACCUCCUUACACGAU